AUUGAACGCUGGCGGCAGGCUUAACACAUGCAAGUCGAACGAAUGGCGGAGGGGUGGGUAGUGCUUGGGAACCUGGCUAAUGGAGGGAGAUAACGGCGGGAACCUGUAGCUAAUACCGCGUAACGUAGGAUGGGGCCACGUGGGAUUAGGUAGUUGGUGAGGUAACGGCUCACCAAGGCGACGCUGUCUAGCUGGUCUGAGAGGAUGACCGGCCACACUGGGACUGAGACACGGCCCAGACUCCUACGGGAGGCAGCAGUGGUGAAUAUUGGGCAAUGGGCGAAAGCCUGACCGAGCCACGCCGCGUGUAUGAAGAAGGUCUUAGGGUUGUAAAGUACUGUCAGUGGGGAGGCGGUACCCAAAGAAGAAGCACCGGCUAACUCCGUGCCAGCAGCCGCGGUAAUUC
rnacentral:rRNA from 1 species